rnacentral:lncRNA from 1 species
UAGAUAGGUCUUAACCUCCUAAAUAUGUGUGUGUGUGUUUAUCUGAAAGAGCUAGAUUUCACUCUGAGAAAAUCAACAAAAUUAUUCAUCUCUAUACAUUUAAGAUAGCAUAACAAGUUAUAUAUGUUAUUUAUAAGAUGAUUUUAUUCAAAACACUUAUUUUUAUGAUCUAAAGGGUUAUUGAUUGGAGAUGAACAAU